CCCCUUAACCCCCAAUUUAUACCCAAACACCACUCUUAAGGGGUGGGGUUAGUAAAUCCCACCCCAAACCGAAUUAGUGGGGUUUACUAAAUCCACUUUUCCUCCCAACUUUAAUCCCGCACGCAUUCCGAGCCCUCAUCUUUUUCUUCUUUAUCAAUCAUUAACCCCACUCCCCCUCCAACUUUAAUCCCGCACACAUCCCGAGCCCUCACAUUUUUCUUCUUUAUCAAUCAUUAUCUUCUUAUCCCACUUACUCCAACCAAAUACUUUUUUUCACUAUUCUAGACUAACUCCAACCUCCAACGAAACAUAAAAAAAUUUUAACACUAUUUUAACCCUGAACUUAAUCCUAUCUCUGGAAUAGCUAUUUUUUCUUAACCCCGAACCAAACGGUGGCUUAGAAAACUGAGUAAAGUGGCGCACAAAAGAGAAUAAUAGAUAUAUCACGUACACAAAGUGGACCGAGUCCUACUCACUCCAAUUAAGCCCCCUCACCAACUUUUAUAUAAACCACCCUUUACCCUCUCCUCUCCUCUCCAAGUGCACACAAACAACCUCUCUCUACAUCUCUCUCUCUCUCUCUCUACACAUAUAAUAGAGUUUUCUUUCUAUAUAUCGAUCAUCUGAAUUGAAUAUGGCUUGCUAUACUGCUUUGGCUUUGAGUGCACUUCUCCUCAUGAGCUGCGCCUCAUGGGGCUCGGCCACCGUCUACACCGUCGGCGAUUCGAGUGGCUGGACCACCGGCGUAGAUUACACGACUUGGACCAGCGGCAAAACCUUCGUGGUUGGCGAUAGACUCGGUUUGUCCUUCUACCUAUCUGCAGUAGCUGUUUAAUGCAUUCGAGAUUGUAUAUCAAGAUCAUUAUAGGAAGUUGUGACCGGCCGUCUCUAGAACAAGUGGCAAAGAUUUGGUGGUUGGUAUUCGAGCUUUCAAAUUCAAAUUCUAGUUGACUCACAUUUCCAGUUAAGUUUAUUUCUAAAUGAAAUAAACGAAGCGGAGAACGUGUUACCUAUCUCUUAAAAAUAAAUAAAUAAAUAAAUAAAUAUAGGAAGAUGGUAUGCUUUUUCAACGACUACAACUUUCUACAACUCAUGCAUUUGAAAGGGUAGUAUCCCCUGGUGAUACUAGCCAUAUCUAAUGCGACCGCUGUUUAAAAGUUUGAUUAUUGGUAUCCAAAAUUCACUACAACAAAAACGGUCUAUAGCGACACUUUUAAAUGUCGGUAUAAGUCAAAAAAGUGUUGGUGGCUAAAUUUACCGACACUUUUGAAAAGUGUUGCUAUAUGUGGGGUCGCUAGGUAUAUAGUGACAAUUAAAGAGUGUUGCUAUAAUCUAAAAGAGUGCUGCUAAUUUACCAACAUUUAUUUAAGCAUCUAAUAACCGCCGGAAUUCUACCUCGUUGGCUGCGGUGGCGGAGGAGGACGAGAGGAAAUGAUCUUCGUCUAGGAUUUCAGUCGAUUGAGUGAGGGAAAAAGAAAAAAUGAUAAUCGAUUUUUCUUUUCUUUUUCUUUUCUUUUUCUUUUCUUUUUCUUUUCUUUUUGUAAUCGGGCCGAAUGGGCUAAGUGGAGUGGGUUGAGUAGAGUACUCUUUUAUUUUUAGUUGGAUUGGACUUUAUAUUUAUGCAUUAGUAGAAUUUUUUUUAAAAUUUUGGCAUAAAUGUGACACUUAUACAAAAGUGUCCCAAACAUGUGUCGCUAUAACCUAAUUCUGUUGUAGUGAUUUUAAAUUUGAAGUCUAAGAAAAACGAACAGAAAAAAUAGUUUCAUAUAUAUAUAUUUUCCUAAUGGUAAUAAUAAUAAUAAUAAGUUCUUUGCGAUUCACACUCAUCUGCCAAUACGACAUCUGUGUACUUUAUUCAACAGUUAUUUUUUGCAGUAGAAUGGAAAACAUUAAAAUGAGACUUUUAUUUUUUAACCUUAAGAUCAUUAAUUGUAGACGAUAUUUUUAUUUGUCAAAUAUUUAGUUACAGAUAAAUACAGUCGAAAGUAAAACAGAAGUAGAGUCACUCUUACUUUUGAUGGAAUAGUUCUCUCUCUUUGAUUUAUGUAAAUGGAGGAUAAAAGCAAAAAAUAUGAGGAGAUUUAUCUAUAUAGACAGAGUAAACUGUUUUAAUUUGCUACAUAUUUCUGAGUAAUUUAAACUAGAUUUUUAAAAAUAUCUAGUCUAAUAUAUCUACAGCUUUAUAGUUGGCCUAUUUUACCUGCUCAAGCGCCAAUUGGCCUUAAUUUUAUUUCGGGGCCGAGGUUGGUGGCCUAACCCCAAACAUCAGUCCAAACACUACCUGAUUAGCAUUACAAAAUACACUACCAAUUAAGUUGACUCAUUUUGACUACUUCGAACCCUCCAAAACUUGCAAUCAUUCUCACAAACCACACCUAACCAUACUAAUAAUUAUAACAAUUUAUCACCCAUCAAUUCUUGAUCAAGGAUUAAAAACCCUAUAUUCUUUUUUAAGUAUUGAUAAAAAUUAUAUAAAUAUAUCUGAAGUAUGGACUUUUUUUUUUUUUUAAUUUCACUAUCUAAUCUUUUCCUUUAUUUGAUUUGAGUCGGACGAUAAUAUUUUUACUUCUUAAAUAUAUUAUUUAUCUUUACGAAUUUAGUUAGCAUACUUCAUGUAAUUUUCGUAACUAUAAAUAUAUUAAAGUAAAAAAAUUAUCUUAAACUUUAAAGUGGAAGCACCACAGACUAAUUCAAAUUAAACAAAUUGAAAAAUUAUGUAGAAAAUUCAAAAUAGUUUCUAUAGUUUAGAUAAGUUCAACUCGUUAUUACUUUAAAUCAAUUUUUAAACCGUUUUUUAUCGGAUUGGAUAUUUGGAUAACAUGGUAUCGAAGCUAAUUCUAAGCUGAGCUCCGGCGACUACAGCUCGUGCUCGACGAGCAACGCGAUCAGCAGCGACAGCAGCGGGUCGACGACGAUCCCGUUGACGACGUCCGGCACGCGCUACUUCGUCUGCGGCGUGGCGAACCACUGCGGCGGCGGCAUGAAGCUCGCCGUCUCCGUCGCCUCCGGCUCCUCCUCCUCCUCCCCUUCCACCCCUUCCACCACCUCCCCCUCCACCACCUACAACACUCACUCCUCCGCCGCCACCGCCACCGUCGUCGCACCCGCUUUCUCGGCAAUGCUGGUGGUUUUCGCCGUGAGCCUGCUUUAGGCCAGGCCAGGGUAGAGACAGUGCUCGAUCGUUCUCCCUAUCCUAUCCUAUCCUCUCUUUUUUUGAGUUUUGAGGCAUUUGCUUAAUUUAAUCUUUUCAUGUACUUAGCAGUUAGUUAAUUACAUCAUUGUAUUUGCAUGGUUGUUAUAUAUUAUGGUGGUUAUGAGUGUUAUGACAUAAUAUAUAUGUAUGUUGAGCUUUUAUUUAUUAGUAAGUCUAUAGAAAAUCCUCACGAAUGGUAAUUUUAAGUUAAGAUAAAGUUUAUACUAAGAUUUCUAGAUUGCGAGAGAUCAUGACACGUUUUAGUGAUAAAAUUAAAGGGUAUGAUUCUUGACCAUUUUAUAUAUAUUGAUACUCUUUAGUUGCAGCUUUGGUUGGGAAAGAGAUCGGAUUCGUUUGGUUGGUAGUGAGUUAGUGACACAAAAAAGCCAUGGGUUGGGCGUUUGGUAUAAAUUACUUUUUGAAGAUGAAGUAAAAGUAGGGGCCCUUGUGUGAGUUGGUGGAUGCUCAUCAUGGAGUAGUUCGUACGUAAUGAUAUAUAUAUAUAAUAAUAAUGAUAAUAAUAAUAAUAAUAAUAAUAAUUUAUCAUCAUGAUGGAGUUGUUGUAAACUUUUUUGACUUUUUUUUUUUUAACUAUCCUUUAUCGACCUUUAAUAAAAUACUAAUAUUUUACAACUAAUAAAGUUUUUAUAAACCUUUGUAAUAAAUUUUAUAAUAAUAAAUUACUAAACAAUGUAAUUUGAUUUAUUAUAACCGACUAGAAUAUUAUUAAUAGUACCAAGUUAUCGACCGAAGCCUUGAAGUUUAGGGUAGGUGGAAUAGUAUAAUAUAAUCUAAAGGAUGGAAUAGUAUAAUAUAAUCUAAAGGAUAAAAAUACUCAAAACAAUAGCUGUAACGAUGAAAAAUUUGAUAACACAAGUGCUCGACAUCGAUAGCAUUAUAGACUUUAUAGCUGGACUUUGAUUUAUUAUAACAGUACAAAUUAUUACAAUAAAUUAUAUAUUAUAAUAAUUUAAUUUUAAUUAAAUUAAAUUAUAUAAUUGAAAAAAAAUAAUAAAAAGUAGAAGAAAAGGUGCCCCAAAUGCUACUCCAAAUGCUAAGGGACAAAAAAAGGGUAGUUGGUAUGCGAAAAGAGUGGCUCCAAAGAGUCCAAGUGUAAGUGUUGGUCUUAAAAGAAAGGAAGAUAAAUAAUAGGCUAAAUUACAUAAAAUUUUUCUGUCAAAAUUUGAUUUUUUAUUUUUCUUUCCUGUCAUUUAAAAACUUACACUUUACCUUCUUAUAAAAUAAAAAAAGUUCACAGAAGGGUACGGUGUGUAAAAUGACCAUUUUGCUCCUCACCAUUUUGGUCACCUCCCUCAUCUUUCUCAACCGCGGCCUCGAUAGGCCGCGAUUUCUCUCCAUUUUCUUCUCCUCCUGCACCCUCGCCGCCCCUCGAUUUAUGCGACAGUAGGGAGAAAAUCGAGGUUGGCGUUGAUGGAGAGGUAGGCAAGGGCAACGAGGGCGAAGGCGAAGCGGCGGAGGAGGGUGAAGGGGAUGUAGGCGAGGGCUAGGGCGAGGCAGUGGAGGAGGGCGAGGGCGAGGCAGUGGAGGAGGGCGAAGCAACAGGGAAGGGGGCGGAGGGAUAUUUUUGGUAUAAAAAAAUAUUUUAUAACAGAAUCCUAACGGAUCACUAACGGUAGGGAGUGAAGUGCACAUUUUUUAUUUUACAGGAAAGCAAAGUGUACGUUUUUAAAUGACAGGAGGGAAAAGUAAAAAAUCGGGUUUUGACAGGGGGUAUUUUUAAUUAAUUCUUAAAUUUUAUUUUAUUCUGGUCAUCUAUAAUAUAAAAAUACUAUUUGUAAAUCUAAAACUAAGAUUCAAAUUUUACUUCAUUCCAUAUUUCCAAAAGUUUAGACACCUAUUUUAAAAUUUUAAUAUUAAACAAAUUUAAUAAGACUCGCAUAAAAAUAUUCAUUUUUGAAUGAGUAAGACAUAAUGUAUAGGUGGCAUUACUCCUAUAAUCUUUUUUAAAAAUAAAAUAUGCAUAACAGGUUGAAACACUAAGAUAUAUAUCUUGAUAGAUUUUUUUUUUUUUUUUUGUUGGUACUUAACUUAACUAAUGACAAGGAUGUCCAACCUAAUUGCAUGUCUUACAAUUUGAAUCCUAAUACAACAAAUAAAAGUUUGAGUCCUAAGAUACAAUCCUUAGAAUAGUAUAGGAAUCAUUUGUGUAGUUUAACCCAAAAAGAAAAAAAAAAUGUAGUGAGGAAAAGGGUAUUCACAGGAAUUCAAAGAUUUUUGUUCUUGAUUUUACUUGGUGGCGAAUCAUGCGCUUUUGGAAUCAGCAUUGAAAACUGAUUAAUUGUAUUGAUGUAAAUUGCCCUAGAGAAGAUAAGAUUCUGCCCACCUAGGUACAUCACAUUUCAAACCAAACAAGCUGGCUGGCAAUGGCAAUUAUAUGUAACUUUUUGUUUAUAGAUAGGUUAGGUCAUGAACAGUUCUAACGAAAGCGGCAAAGAACUUGAUAAUUGAUACUAAAUUCAUUUUUGAAAAAAAUGAACAAAGCAUGUAACAUAAUGAAGACGAAGCAGGUAGGCUCUCUGAAUUUUUAAUGAUAAGCGCAAUUUCAUUGAGGAACUUUAUUUAUUGAGAUAGUCCAAUUUGCUGUAUGAUUUAUCGGAUGUCUGAAUUUUAAUGGAUCAUUUCAAUAUAAAAAAUUUUUGCUCAAAUUCAACACCGUGUUAGAUGACGGAUUUAUAAAGAGUCAAAUAAAGAAGAAUGAGGCUCUCCUCAUUCAAUUUCUUUUCUUUCCUAAAAUUUGCUACUCUGACGAUCCAACCAAUUUUUUGAUAGAGACAAAACUGAUACGUAACAGUGAGGCUCCUCUCCCCACUAAAUUUUAUUUUUAAUUAAAAGUCCUAUUGUGUAAGGAAGCCCUUUUAGCUUAGAUUUAUCCCUAGGCAAUUAUAUCCCAUAUUAAUUAAGUUUCUACGCACUUUUCGCCCUUGUUUGAUUGGGGGUUAAGGGGUGGAAUAACCCCUUAACCCCCAUUUUAUUCCCAAACAUUCUAAAAAAUAGGUGAGGUUAGCUAACCCCAUCUAACCCCACCUCAAAUAAAUUAUCCCGGGUUAGCUAACCCCAUCUAACCCUACCAAACUCUAACCAAACACUAUUUUCUAUUCAUAAUAACCCACUAUCUUUCUUAUCACACCUACUCCAACCAAUCAUUAUUCUUCUUUAUCAAUCAUUAUCUUCUUAUCCCACCUACUUCAACCAAACACUAUUUUUCAUUAUUCUAGACUAACUCCAACCCCCAACCAAACACAAAAAAACUUUAACCCCACUUUAACCCUGAACUUAACUCUAUCCCUGAAAUAGCUACUUUUUCCUUAACCCCGAACCAAACGGAGGCUUCAAGAACAUACAAUAGAAUACUAGAUAUUUAUUUUUCCCAGUAAAACACAUCAUAAAUACUCAUCCAUGAUCUAUAUAUUAUCCAUUU
rnacentral:lncRNA from 1 species